UUACUAAUAGAGUCCCUAUAUGAGGUAUCAAAGAAUGCUUAUAAAGUUUCACUCAUCAGAGAGUUCCUACGGCUGCAAAGUAAAAAGUAUGAAGGAGGAAGUAAAAAUUUCCUACAAAAAUUUGCUCCAAGAAUUUUGUCAAAAACAUUACAAAUCAUUACUGCAAUAUUCAACUUGUAAAAAAGGAUUACAUCAUUUGCCGGAAUUCUAUACUGCAAUUCAAGUAUGUAAAAAUUUUUACAUGAUAAACACA
rnacentral:lncRNA from 1 species